UGCCAGCCGCCGCGGUAAUACGAGGGGUCCUAGCGUUGUCCGGAUUUACCGGGCGUAAAGCGCGCGUAGGUGGUUUGAUAAGCUAGCUGUGAAAGCCCCGGGCUCAACCUGGGAACUGCAGUUAGAACUGUCUGACUAGAGUACAGUAGAGGGUGGCGGAAUUUCCUGUGUAGCGGUGAAAUGCGUAGAUAUAGGAAGGAACAUCAGUGGCGAAGGCGGCCACCUGGACUGAUACUGACACUGAGGUGCGAAAGCGUGGGGAGCAAACAGGAUUAGAUA
rnacentral:rRNA from 1 species